UUAAGAGUUUGUAAGGAUUCUUUGUUAUGAUUUGAGAAAGUUGCUUAGUAGCCUCUAUGUAUGUUUGUGUUAUGUCAGUUGCUCUUCAUCGGUGUUUUUAUUGUUUUGGAUAUUGGUAUGGUUUUGCUUUUUUUUUGGUAAAGUUGAAUUCAGUGAGGGCCAAUUUGUUAAGUUCUGCAAGUUUGGAUAGUGAGACACCACACUAUUUUGGAGACACCUAAUGCGGAACAUUUGUGUGGAACCCUCUUGUAGAAGGCAAGUUAUAUGCUUUCUAACUUUGGUCUAUGGACAUUUGGUUGGAUUUGUUUGCCACUGCUAUUUGGUUUGUUGGUCUCCAUCAUCUGCAAUUAGUUUUCUUGAAGACUCUAGUUGAGGUAUGGUUUUGGAUCUCCUGCUGAUUAUUUGAAUUUGAAAUUUUGGUUGUCCUGUUGGUGCUCAUGUGAUGAUGGUAAACUUGAGUGAAGGGCAUAUUUUUGUAUGUGGUAUGUGAGACCUUGUUGCCAAAUUUGUAAUCAGUUUUGACUUGGAGAAUGUGCCAUGCUAUGUGAAUGAGUCUAUUGGUGCAGUUUAAGACCAUGGUGUUUGUGAGCAGGUGGAGUUCGUUGUGUGUCCAACUUUGGCACUUAUGGUUUGCAAAUUUGGAGAAGACGGUAAAGAAAUGGUCUACUUUUGUUGGCUUUGGUACAAUUUGAGUCGAGGUGGAAAUUGUUAUGAGCACUGGUAAGUUUGGGGAAUUUGAUUUAGUUUCCGUUGUCUUUAGUUUGUACUUUGGGUGCUUAUGGUGAUUGUUGAUUCGAUUCUCUGUGAUGCUUUCGGAACUUGGUCAAGGUGGAGAUUGUUGGAUUUGUGACCAAAUGGACAACAAGCCAAAAUACCUUUCAGCUAAUAAAAUAGAAUAAGGAAAAGGGGGACAUCAUUAUGAUGUCUAGCCCUUGAUUUGUGGCUUUUACAAAGGCAAAGAAUAUGUGGCCUUUUGUUUAUAUUAAGACAUUUGGUUAUGCCUUUAAAAAGGAGAGAGUUGGGAACGGCAGAUUUGAGAGAAGAAAGAGAAGGGUUGCUGUUAUCUAUCCUUCCCAUUUGUUUGUAAUCCCCUUUUGUUAGUAAUCACUCAAUCAAAGAUAUUUGUGCUACAUUUUGUGGCUUUUGGGAGAGAAGGAAUUUGGUAUAUGUUUCCAUCUUCUCCAUUUGUUCUUUGUGAGAGUGAGAGCUAUUGGGUGUAUGUGGGAUUUGGGUUUGAGAGUUAAAACUCUAUUUGUAAUCUCCAUUUUGAUAUUAGUGGAAUUUCCUCGCCGUCCCGGAACUGGACGUAGGCUUAUGCCGAA